GGGUUGUGAGGUUAAGCGACUAAGCGUACACGGUGGAUGCCCUGGCAGUCAGAGGCGAUGAAGGACGUGCUAAUCUGCGAUAAGCGUCGGUAAGGUGAUAUGAACCGUUAUAACCGGCGAUUUCCGAAUGGGGAAACCCAGUGUGUUUCGACACACUAUCAUUAACUGAAUCCA
rnacentral:rRNA from 2 species